CCCCAUUUGUUUUUUUGUGUCUCUUCUCCUGUUGGACCAUGAAUUAGAUUCCCUAGAAAGAUGCAGAUGAAUCUCCUGCUCUUCGUCUUUCCAUUGCUGAUGUUUCACUGCUGUGCAUGUGUUUCAGUGUCGCAGAUUCCCAGAGUGUUAACUGUGGGCCGAGGGGAUACCGCAGCGCUAACCUGUCAACAGGAAGACACUGAUUCCAUUACAAUGCUCUGGUACCGGCAGUAUACUGGACAGGGCCUGCAUCUUGUGGUGAUCGACGUAUCUGGGAAUAAACCGACCUUCGAGGCAGGAUUCGAGACGCGAUUCGAUGUGGUGAGACGCAAUCCGAAAACGUCCAUUCUAAAAAUUCUCACUUUAGACCAGAGUGAUACGGCGAUCUAUUUCUGCGCUGCAAGUGAUCAUAGUAUUUCAAACCUGUUAUGCAGCACGACAAUAACCAUUUCAAGAGCUAUCGUUUCCGUUUGUCUCUUUUCGAUGUCAAUUUCCGACUUUCCUUCACGUGUUUGCAUGUAAACGUCUACACCGAGAUCGUCCAUCUACACAACAAUGAACGGUUUGGAAGACUGAUAGAAAGCGGGCCAGGUGGAAGCCAUAAUCGUAGAAUGGCAUGCAGUGAGGAGUGAAUGCACCGUCCUGUGUAGCACAACAUUUCCCACUCCCACCUCCCAAAAAAAACCGGCACCUGGUCAAGCGUUACAAACAACUUUAUUAGGUAUGAGGAAAUACGAAGAUUUAUGAAAUACAAUUUUUCUGAAGAAUGGGGACAGACAAUCUAAAUAAAGAAUGCAGUUCUAUAAGGCGUAUGGGAGCAGAGGAGUUGUGGUAUUUGUGCAUAGAGAGGGAAACGCUGACUGAUGUUACGUGAUAUGUUAAAAGACCAUAAGACACAGGAGCAGAAAUUAGGCCAUACAGCCCAUCAAGUCAGCUCUGCCAGUCAAUCAUGACUGAUAAGUUCCUCAACCCUAUUCUCCUGUUUUCUCCUCAUAACCCUUGAUCUCCUUGAUAAUCAAGAAUCUAUAUAUCUCAGUCUUAAAUGUAUUC